GAUGAACGCUGGCGGCGUGCCUAAUACAUGCAAGUCGAGCGAACGGACGAGAAGCUUGCUUCUCUGAUGUUAGCGGCGGACGGGUGAGUAACACGUGGAUAACCUACCUAUAAGACUGGGAUAACUUCGGGAAACCGGAGCUAAUACCGGAUGAUAUUUUGAACCGCAUGGUUCAAAAGUGAAAGACGGUCUUGCUGUCACUUAUAGAUGGAUCCGCGCUGCAUUAGCUAGUUGGUAAGGUAACGGCUUACCAAGGCAACGAUGCAUAGCCGACCUGAGAGGGUGGUCGGCCACACUGGAACUGAGACACGGUCCAGACACCUACGGGAGGCAGCAGUAGGGAAUCUUCCGCAAUGGGCGAAAGCCUGACGGAGCAACGCCGCGUGAGUGAUGAAGGUCUUCGGAUCGUAAAACUCUGUUAUUAGGGAAGAACAUAUGUGUAAGUAACUGUGCACAUCUUGACGGUACCUAAUCAGAAAGCCACGGCUAACUACGUG
rnacentral:rRNA from 1 species